CCUACGGGUGGCAGCAGUCGAGAAUUUUUGACAAUGGGGGAAACCCUGAUCGAGCGACGCCGCGUGGAGGAUGAAGGUCUUCGGGUUGUAAACUCCUGUCAUUUGGGAACUAGUACCAGAAGAGGAAGAGACGGCUAACUCUGUGCCAGCAGCCGCGGUAAUACAGAGGUCUCAAGCGUUGUUCGGAUUCAUUGGGCGUAAAGGGUGCGUAGGUGGCGUCGUAAGUCAGGUGUGAAAUCUCGGAGCUUAACUCCGAAACUGCAUUUGAUACUGCGGUGCUUGAGGACUGGAGAGGAGACUGGAAUUUACGGUGUAGCAGUGAAAUGCGUAGAGAUCGUAAGGAAGACCAGUGGCGAAGGCGGGUCUCUGGACAGUCCUGACACUGAGGCACGAAGGCCAGGGGAGCAAACGGGAUUAGAUACCCUUGUAGUC
rnacentral:rRNA from 1 species